UCUUGGAGGUGCGGCAGGGGCGGUGCGUCCUUCGGUGAGGGUGAGGGGGAGUACUCUGAGGAGCCGCGGAGGGAGCUGCGGGGGGCUUAGCCUGGAGAAAAGGAGGCUCAGGACUGACCAUGUCCCUCUCUACAACCACCUGAAAGGAGGGUAUAGCUAGGCGGGGGUCGAGCUCUUCUACCAGGCAGCAAGCGACAGGAUGAGAGGACACAGUCUUAAGCUGUGCCAGGGGAGGAUUAGGUUGGACAUCGGGAGUAAUUUCUUCACAGAAAGGGCGAUUAAACAUUGGAAUACUGUGACCCGUUCUGGGCUCCUCAGUACUAGGACAAGGAUAUACUGGAGAGGGUCCAGCAGAGGCCGCAAAGAUGAUGAGAGGUCUGGAGCAUCUCUCUGAUGAGGAGAGACUGAGGGAGUUGGGGCCGCUUACUCUGGAGAAGGCUGAGAGGGGAUCUCAUUGAUGAAUAAAAGUGUCUUAAAGACAGGUGCCAAGACAGUGCUGCCCAGCAACAGGACGAGGAGCAAUGGCCAUAAACUAAAACACAAGAAGUUUCACCUCAACAUGAGGAAGAACUUUACAUUGAGGGUGGCAGAGCCCUGGAACAGCUGCCCAGGGAGGGCGUGGAGUCUCCCUCUCUGGAGACAUUCCAGACCCACCUGGACGCGUUCCUGUGUCCCCUGCUCCAGGUGACCCUGCCUUGGCAGGGGCUUGGACUGGGUGAUCUCCAGAGGUCCCUUCCAACCCUGUACAAGCCGUGACUGUGUGGGGCAGUGCUGGAGAAAGGGGCACACACACCCCACGUGCCCUUCAUGCCCCCUGGGGCUGCGAGGGCAGGAUGGACACGGCCAAACCCCCAGUGCCCGCCCUGGGGACAGCAAAGGUGUGACUGAGGGGGAAAGCAGUGGGGAAAAUUACAGAAAUCAGUGCUAAAUGGGACAAAAAUAGAGUGAGGUGUGCACAGAUCCUCCAUGAGAGGCAGGAGGUGAGGGCAGGACAUCCUCCCUGCUCCCAGGCUGUGUGAGGGGCUGGGACAGCACAUCCCGCAAAGCAGCCACGCUCCUUGAUGGACAUCUCACAGUAAUGAGGACAGGACAGUUCAUUUCAAGUGCUCUGGUAAUAACAUUUUGGACAAAAUGGUCCCCCCAAGCAUUUCUGAAACACCAUUAGGACUGGGACUGUGUAACUGGGCAACUUGCUGAGGCAGAUACUGUCAAACAUUGGAAGGCCAAAAAACACGGAGUCUCUCAGCCUGGAAAGCCUUUCACUGUUGUACUUUGUGUAACCUGGAGCUUAAUUAGAGAAGUCACUGGAUAAUGACAACUAGAAAAACCCUACAAACCAACAGUGAAAAAAAAUGCAAGUCAGUGUUGACAACAGUAUACAAAAGCUGUUUUACCUCUCUCAAGAUGCAGCAUGUGGAAAAUGUGUCAGUAAUCCUGCUCACUGGGUAAGCCUUGCACACACACGUUGUGCUUCUGCAGGGUUUUAAAGGAGUAACCAUCAGAACAUCGUUCUGAGUGGUUUUUUUGUUAUUGUGUUUUUUAUUAUUAUUUUGUUGGGGUUUUUUUAAUUUUCUUUCUUCAUGGUACAAAACAUUUGAGGGCAAUGCCAGAGGUUGGAUGAUAUUAAGCUAGAUAUUUUUGGGGGUGGAUGAGCCAAGAGACAUCUCUGUUACACGUGCAUGGAGAGGAGGAGUAAUGCUGUAAGGUGUGUUGGUAUCUUAACUCUGUGAGGAAUUUGGAUGUGUUGCACUAAUUCUCGUGGCUUUUCCAACAGCUGCAGUUUGCAUUUACUGCAUCUCAUUGGAAAUCCUAAGUUGGAAGCCAAGUUCCAUGGGAAGGGGAAGGUUUAUGCAAUGAAGUCAAGCAACAUUCAGAAACAGUCCCAUUUGAUGCAAGAUAUAGUUCUUGGGCUGUUGAGAAUAGAUGGGAGCUCUCACAGCCACUGACUACCCUUCUACAGCUAGGAAAAAUCUUGUGGAAUGUGCUAACUACGGGAGAAGCUGCCUUCCUGGGCUGGGUCACCUGUCACUGCAGACCUGUAACCUGUGAGCUACUUUUACAGGAUUAAAACAAUCUGAAACUGGCCCUGGCAAUCAGCAAGAGGGAGUUACAGAAUGUGGGCGUUAGUCAUGUUCCCUCUGCUGUUCAGAGGAGCAGGAAAACUGCACAACCUGGGGCUCUUCCCAUCUUUGGCUUUGGGUGCAGUGAACUACAGCAGUCCAGCAGGAAGAAACAACACCCUCAGCAGCACAGGAACUCAAAUGCCAAGUCCCAUCCUUUUAGGAAAGCAGCCAGGGCUGAGCAGAUUCACCUUUUGGCCAGGGGCUUGAAGCUCAACAAUUCCCCCUCCUUUUAGGGGAGUAUUGAGUGUAAUUUACCUUUAGUCACGUCAGUACCUGUUAUUCCAGCAUUUCCCAGAAUAAAGUCUCAUAAACCCAGUUUGUGAGGCUGCAUCAUUCCCAGACAGGUCAGAUUUCUUAGCUUUCUUCCAAGUACUUCACCACAUGAAGGACUCAAGAGUUGAACAUGCAGAGAACUGUCCUUGCCCCUUCACGAUUGGUUGCUCUGGGAUAGAUUUUUUUUGUAUAAAAGGUGAAAAUUAACGCACCUUAA